ACCCUAUAAAACAACAUUGUGGUUUGUCUGUACAGCAGCAAAGAACACUCAAACAGGCAAUUGCUACACAAGCAGAACAACAACCCAAUCACCAACACAAAUUUGAGACAAUGCUGAGAGUUGUGGGACAUUUGCUGUGUCUCAUUAUAUGCUGUCUAGGAGCUGAUGGCUUGACAGAGACACUGGUGGAACUAGGACAGAAUACAAUCAUAAACUGUUCUCUUAAAAUAGAAAGUGCAUACUGGUACAUUCAGCACCACCCACAGCCUCCACUGGCCAUACUCCGCUCUUUCUCUAAUAGUAGUCCUGCUGCUUUUUACUACAAUAAGAAUUAUAGACAGAAAUAUUCAUUAGAAACAGGAAAUAGAUUGUUCAUACAGAAUGUAACAGUAGAUGAUUGUGGAGUGUUCUACUGUGCAAAGAAGGAAGAGCAGAGUCUCCUAUUUAGCAAUGGCACCAGACUCAUGACCACUGACUAUCCAAGCCAGCAGUCCAACUGUAGGUCAUCAUGGGAGAACUGUCUUCUGUCCAUUUACAGUGUUCUGAAUAUUAUUCUGAUCGUUAUGAUCCUGGUACAUAUCGUGGCCUUGGCAUGUCAGAACAGAAACUGUCUUAUUUAACUAAGACCUCCUCAAGAUGCAGACCAGAGAAAUCAGUGACACAGAUCCCAGCACCACCAAGAAGAUUCCAUCCUGAACUUGUAUCAAUAAUUAUUACAAUUGCAGUAUAGUGCAUAUAUCCACAGGCGCAAACUAACAACUUCUGCAAUAGGUAUAUUCUUAGAAUCACUUCCUGUAGAAUGAUACAAGUCAUGUGACAAUGUUACAGUGAACGAUGACUAAAAUACUCUUGUGAAUAUGCUUGUGAAUAUGCCUGUAUCCACCCCUUUCUACCGCUAGUCAGUAAUUAAUAAAUACGUGUUUCUUUACUUCCCCCCACUUUGACAUUUAUUUGCACUAAAAUACACGCAUGAUGUAGGUCUACUGCAGUGUUUCACAAACUCGGUCCUCUGGACCCCAAAGGGUGCACGUUUUGGUUUUUGCCCUAGCACUACACAGCUGAUUCAAAUAAUCAACUAAUUAACUAAUUAUCAAUAUUUGAACAUUUGAAUCAGCUGUGCAGUGUUAGGGCAAAAACCAAAACAUGCACCCCUUGGGGUCCUGAGUUUGGGAAACGCUGAACGUGUUAUUGUAUACAUGAACGGUCAAUCCAUUAGUGUAACUAUCUUCUAGUAAAAUGUCAUGAUUACAGUAAUCAGCUGCUUAACUUCCUUUUUGUUCUAAAGCUGUGACUUCUGUGGAAAUUGCCAAUGAAAUUGCAGUAAGGAUCACAGCAAAAAAAGAAAGGUAUUGUCACAUCCUGACCAGCAGAGGGUGUUGUUGUGUAGUUUUGGUCAGGACGUGGCAGAGUAUGUCUGUGUAUGUGUGUUCUGGGUGUUGUAUUUCUAUGUGGGUUAUCGUCUGGUUAUCGUUGUUCCUGAUUGGGAGUCAUAUAAUUAGGAGUAUGUUUGUCACUUGGGGUUGUGGGUGGUUGUGCUAACACUGCUAGUCUUUAGUAUGUACGUAGCCUGUUAGCCGGUUUUGUUUGUUUUUCCCGUGGAUACUUUGCUCUUAUAUAUUAAAAAGAUGAGUAUCUACAUUUCA